rnacentral:rRNA from 1 species
UUCUGGUCAGGACGAACGCUGGCGGCGUGCCUAACACAUGCAAGUCGAGCGAGGAGAUCCUUCGGGAUGAUCCUAGCGGCGGACGGGUGAGUAACACGUGGGCAACCUGCCUCAUAGAGAGGAAUAGCCUUCCGAAAGGGAGAUUAAUACCUCAUAACAUUGCAGUUUCGCAUGAAACAGCAAUUAAAGGAGCAAUCCGCUAUGAGAUGGGCCCGCGGCGCAUUAGCUAGUUGGUGAGGUAACGGCUCACCAAGGCGACGAUGCGUAGCCGACCUGAGAGGGUGAUCGGCCACAUUGGGACUGAGACACGGCCCAGACUCCUACGGGAGGCAGCAGUGGGGAAUAUUGCACAAUGGGGGAAACCCUGAUGCAAGCAACGCCGCGUGAGUGAUGACGGCCUUCGGGUUGUAAAGCUCUGUCUUCAGGGACGAUAAUGACGGUACCUGAGGAGGAAGCCACGGCUAACUACGUGCCAGCAGCCGC